UCCAAAUCUGUGCAAUAUUACGAUGAAUUUGUUGACUUUGUUACAAAAAGAUCUGAAGAAAAGAGAGACAGUUUGCCAAUGUUGAAGUAUAUAAUGGAAAACGGAAACACAACUACAUAUCAAUGGAGGACGGGACAGAAACCAGAGGUGAUAGAGGAGGCCAAAGUUUUCAUCGAUACGUCGGAGGAAAACGAGGUCGGCCAAGUCACAGAUGAUAUUGACUGGGGAGACCCAGGUGCUAUGACAGAGUCUGCCAUUGAUUUUGGAGACGAGAUUGAUUUCAAUAUGGCGGACAUUACUGUGGAGACAGGAGGCACAGAAGAAGGAGACCAGAACCCUGACACUGGUGUCACAGGGCAUGAUAGUGACAGUAAUGGGAUAGACUGGACCGAUGUAGUCAUUGUGGAUAAACCUGAUGCUGAGGGUGUUGCCAAAGGAGAAGAUGCCAUGUCACUUCUAGACAAUCCCAGGACGCGGACUCUCUUCAUUGAUGACUUGAUGGAGUUGGAGGCAUUCCUGAUGCAACGGUUGUUUGAGCUGGACUCGGACUCGGCAGGGGGGGAUGUGUUGUCAAGCAGUCAGAUGCAAGAUGCCCCCUCCUCCCUACAACUCCAGUCACCCGUGGUUACCAAGAUGGUCAGUCAGGUCCGAGACGUCAUCGCUGCAUUUAGUACUGUCAAGAUGCAUCAUUUACUGUCCAUUAGGAAUUCUCCACGAUAUGUUGAUCGUCUGAAAGAGACUUUGAAACAGAUGUUGAGUCUGGCAGACAAGAUGGUGUUCUUAGAGAAACAGAUGGUCGUUAAAUACAAAGACGCAGAUUCUGAGCUAAGGGAAAUCCAGCCUAAACUGGAGCUAGUCAUAAAGCGCACCAAGGAAAUGCAGAAACAGAUGGAGUCAGAGAUAUCAAACCGCUACAAGGAUAGAGUGGUCAAUAUAAUGGGAGAAAUCAACACAAUGUGAUUAUACUGGGAAUAUUAUAAAAACAAAAUAUUGUGAUAGACAUUAAUACAUUAUCAUUUUCUGCGAAAUUCGAUCUUGCGAAAUUGGAAACAUUCUAUAACUUCUUUGGACUAUGGAUAUUUCAAAUGUUUGACUCUUGAAAAUGUUUGUUACCGUUCAAAUAUGUAAAUGUCACAGAAUACAAGAUCUGUACAGCUAUUAUUGAUAUACAAUAGGUAAUCAUACCAUAUUUCAUUAUAUUGUUAUGUUACUGUGAUUUACAAGUGCAUGAAUUUAUACACUGUUGCAAUAAACAAAGGCCUAAUC
rnacentral:misc_RNA from 1 species